UCCGAUAGAUGUUGGGCGGACAGUUCCGCUU
rnacentral:sRNA from 1 species